rnacentral:lncRNA from 1 species
GGUACAUAUAACGUGUUGUCGUUCUCAUAUGCACAUGAUAUUUGUCACUGGACGUUAACCCCUAAUUCGUCAGCAUCAUCCAAUUGGUUCUUUUCUUCUAUUACUUAUUAAUCAUAUGUUGUUUUCAAAUCAUUCUAAAGAAGUAAAUGGAAAGGAGCGAAUGCAGCUACAUUUUGUUAACUUAAGUUUUAAUUCAUUUUAUUCCGUUUAGUUCCUUUCUACAUAAGUGCAGAGGAGAACUGCAGUUGUCCGCAUGUAAACUUCUAGCAUUCGUCACCAAUAUGAGUACAUCGCAAUCCGUUACUGUUUCAACACCCAGGGGUGUUUCAUGUCUGUAUUCUUAAACAAUUAUUAUUUUUCUCUCUUUUUUAGCAAUGCAUCAAUCUCUACUGUCCUUAUCUACUAUUCUAUAUUCUGCGUCUCCAUCCAGAUUCUCGUGUAUACCAUGAGGGUCCGGAUUGGGGGUGGUGUUUAUUUCUGUAUUCUUUAAAUUGUUAUGUCACUUUUCUCUACAUUUUAUUUAUCUUACUCAGUAUUAUUAAUUCGUAUAUUUUAACUUAUUUGAUUCGUUCAGGGAUAGUCACAUGUUAAACUAUAUUUUCGAAGGUGAUCAAAAACGGCGGAUAGCAAAAUGCAUAUUGCACAGCAAAAAGCAUAUUGCACGGUUUAUUUAUAUGUCGU